AACAGAAGCAUCCGGAUUGCUCUGUAGUCUAAGAAAGGUUCAGCAACACCGUCAGGGAGUCCUUGAGCCAAAGCCAGCUCCCAGGAACAGGCCUGUCCCAGUGUGUUUGACACACUCAAUGUCACAGCCCAUGGAAUCCUGAGCUUUCGUCAGAGUUGUAGGAGAUGCUGCUGGUGCCUGGUGUCAGCCCUUGACUCUACACAUAGAAAGAUCCUCAAUAAAAUGUUUGCAAAGCUCUGUGAUAGAAGGAGCCUGCUGGAUUCAGAAAGAGAUCACACUUUGGAGGAGGAGAAAUGGUGGGACGCUCACAUUGCAGAGUGACUGUACCCAUCAGGCUGGCAAGACACCAAAGGGUGGCUGAAGACACCAGAGUUCUCUGCUUUCCCAAGAUCUAUGCACCCAUAGAAGCUCAGAGAGUGGGGAAGACCACUGCCAGCCUGGACAGUGAGGGGGUUGGUGACAGCCUUGGGGGAUGGGAAGUUAGGGGCUCUUUCCUUGUCUUCUGGAUACCAUAAAAUUCUCCUGGAUUCUAAAGUGA